AUGAUCUCUGCAGCUUUUUCGCUGCUGCUGCUCGCAGCCGUACACUGUGUUCACUGUGUUGAGCUGACCCAGCCUGGAUCCAGUAUAGUAACCCCUGGUCAGUCACUGACUCUGACCUGUAAAGUGUCUGGAUAUUCAUUUAGCAGCUACUACACAGCCUGGAUACGACAACCUGCAGGAAAACCUCUAGAGUGGAUCGGAAGAAUUUGUUGUAGUGGUAGCACUGACUACAGUGAGAAACUGAAAAGCAGGUUUCAGCUUUCCAUAGACACGUCCAGCAGCACAGUAACAUUAACAGGACAGAACAUGCAGACUGAAGACACAGCUGUGUAUUACUGCGCUCGAGACCCCACAGUGAGACAGAUUAACAACAUCCCUUGUAGAUAUUAA